rnacentral:rRNA from 1 species
GACGAACGCUGGCGGCGUGCUUAACACAUGCAAGUCGAACGGAAAGGCCCUGCUUUUGUGGGGUGCUCGAGUGGCGAACGGGUGAGUAACACGUGAGUAACCUGCCCUUGACUUUGGGAUAACUUCAGGAAACUGGGGCUCAUACCGGAUAGGAGCUCUUGCUGCAGGGUGGGGGUUGGAAAGUUUCGGCGGUUGGGGAUGGACUCGCGGCUUAUCAGCUUGUUGGUGGGGUAGUGGCUUACAAAGGCUUUGACGGGUAGCCGGCCUGAGAGGGUGACGGGCCACAGUGGGACUGAGAUACGGCCCAGACUCCUACGGGAGGCAGCAGUGGGGAAUAUUGCACAAUGGGCGGAGGCGUGAUGCAGCAACGCCGCGUGCGGGAUGACGGCCUUCGGGUUGUAAACAGCUUUCGCCUGUGACGAAGCGUGUGUGACGGUAAUGGGUAAAGAAGCACCGGCUAACUACGU